rnacentral:rRNA from 1 species
AUGGUUAACACCAUGUUAGACACUUCGGGUCUAUCCAAGGAAUGGUGGGGGGAGGCACUAAUGACUGCAUGUCAUGUCCUAAACCAAGUUCCCACAAAGCAUAAGACUAUGACUCCAUUUGAGCAAUGGGAAAGGAAAAGGUUGAAACUCUCUUACCUACGUACUUGGGAUUGUUUGGCGAAAGUCAAUAUACCAAUUCCCAAGAAGCGCAAGCUUGGACCAAAAACCGUGGAUUGUAUUCUUCUGGGCUAUGCUUUUCAUAGCAUCAGCUAUAGAUUUUUGAUAAUAAAAUUUGAGGUAUCCGACAUGCAUGUUGGUACGAUUAUGGAAUCAAAUGAUGCAACUUUCUUUGAGGACAUAUUUCCUAUGAAGGAUAUGUCAAGUUCAUCAAAUCAGGAGAUACCUACUCCAUCUAGUGAGGAAUUCACUGUAAUUCCUGAACCCACCAUUGUGAUGGAACACAUUGAGAAUCCUGUUGAGGAAGCAUAUGCGUCUCCUGAUGCUGACUACUGGAAGGAAGCUGUACGUAGUGAGAUGGAUUCCAUCUUAGCUAACGGUACCUGGGAGAUCACUGACCGUCCAUAUGGGUGCAAACCUGUAGGAUGUAAGUGGGUGUUCAAGAAGAAGCUUAGACCUGAUGGUACGAUUGAAAAGUACAAGGCACGGCUUGUGGCCAAGGGUCAUACCCAGAAAGAAGGUGAAGACUUCUUUGAUACUUACUCACCCGUGGCUAGACUGACCACAAUUCGGGUGCUACUAUCACUGGCUGCCUCACAUGGUCUUCUCGUUCAUCAAAUGGACGUUAAGACGGCUUUCCUUAAUGGAGAGUUGAAGGAGGAAAUUUACAUGGAUCAGCCAGAUGGUUUUGUAGUACCUGGUCAGGAAGGAAAGGUGUGCAAGUUAUUAAAGUCUUUAUAUGGCCUUAAACAAGCUCCUAAGGAGUGGCAUGAGAAGUUCGAAAGAACAUUAACUGCUGCCGGCUUUGUAGUAAAUGAUGGUGACAAGUGCGUGUGCUAUCACUAUGGUGGGGGCGAAGGAGUUAUUCUUUGUCUGUAUGUCGAUGACAUAUUGAUCUUUGGAACCAAACUUGAUUUAAUCAAGGAGGUUAAGGAUUUCUUAUCUCGCUGUUUUGAGAUGAAGGAUCUAGGAGUAGCUGAUGUUAUCUUAAACAUCAAGCUGUUGAGAGAUGAGAAUGGUGGGAUCACACUGCUUCAGUCUCAUUAUGUGGAAAAGGUCUUGAGUCGUUUUGGGUACAGCGACUGCACGCCUUCUCCAACUCCAUAUGAUGCUAGUGUUGCCACGAGGCCUGACAUCUCUUUUGCUGUGAGCAAGCUGAGUCGGUUUGUGUCAAAACCGGGAGAUGAUCAUUGGCAUGUGCUUGAGAGAGUUAUGCGCUAUUUGGAAGGCACCGCGAGCUAUGGGAUUCACUACACCGGGUAUCCAAGGGUACUGGAGGGUUAUAGUGACUCAAACUGGAUAUCUGAUGCUGAUGAGAUUAAGGCCACAAGUGGUUAUGUUUUUACACUUGGUGGUGGCGCUGUUUCCUGGAAGUCUUGCAAGCAGACCAUCUUAACGAGGUCAACUAUGGAAGCAGAACUCACAGCAUUAGACACUGCCACUGUUGAAGCAGAGUGGCUUCGUGAACUCUUGAUGGACUUACCUAUGGUUGAAAAACCAAUACCCCCUAUCCUGAUGAACUGUGAUAAUCAAACUGUGAUCGUCAAGAUAAACAGUUCUAAGGACAAUAUGAAGUCCUCAAGGCAUGUGAAGAGGAGACUAAAAUCUGUCAGAAAAUUGAGGAACUCCGGAGUUAUUACGUUGGAUUAUAUCCAAACGUCGAAAAACUUGGCAGGUCCCUUCACAAAGGGUCUAUCACGUAAUGUGAUAGAUAAUGCAUCGAUGGAGAUGGGUUUGAGACCCACCGCAUGA